CUGCCUUCUUCUUCUUCCUGGUGAUGGAGCUGGCGCUGGAGGCCAGCCCUUUGAUGCGGUCGGCCGACGGAGUUGCGGGAGCCACGCCGGUGACCCGAUGCGGCUAGGGUUCAGAUCCGCUUGCUUCGUGAUGAUGCCUUCGUCGUGGAUCCGCCGCCGUGGGGAGCUCGAGCAGGGACCACUGGCAGCACCGCCAUGGCCGCCCUGCUCGAUCUAAGGGGGAGAAGGUGAGUGGGGGGCGGCGGGAGCGGUGGAGGAGAGGGGCACGGACGAGGUCAGCGGUGGGGAAGAGAAGAGGGGGAGGAGGACGCUGGCUGGGGAGAGGGAGGUCGCCGGCUGGGGAGAGCGAGGCGGCGGCGGCGGCGGCGGCGGACUCUGUUUGGUUUGGU
rnacentral:rRNA from 1 species